rnacentral:misc_RNA from 1 species
UCAAACUUGGUCAUUUAGAGGAAGUAAAAGUCGUAACAAGGUUUCCGUAGGUGAACCUGCGGAAGGAUCAUUAACGUAUCUCUGACGGCGAGGGUGUGCCCUGCUCCGGCCCCCCCCCAAAAAGGGCCGUGCAGCGGGUGCUCCCUAGCUGCUCAACCCUUUGCAAACCCCACUGUGCACUUUUGUCGGCGUGAGGGGCAACCCUCCUUGCCGGAUCACAAACACCAAGUUCAAAAGAAUGUUGUGCGGACAGCUUGCCGCCUAAACCAAAUAACAACUUUCAACAACGGAUCUCUUGGCUCUCGCAUCGAUGAAGAACGCAGC